rnacentral:rRNA from 1 species
AUACGUAGGGUGCAAGCGUUAUCCGGAAUUAUUGGGCGUAAAGGGCUCGUAGGCGGUUCGUCGCGUCCGGUGUGAAAGUCCAUCGCUUAACGGUGGAUCCGCGCCGGGUACGGGCGGGCUUGAGUGCGGUAGGGGAGACUGGAAUUCCCGGUGUAACGGUGGAAUGUGUAGAUAUCGGGAAGAACACCAAUGGCGAAGGCAGGUCUCUGGGCCGUUACUGACGCUGAGGAGCGAAAGCGUGGGGAGCGAACAGGAUUAGAUACCCUGGUAGUCCACGCCGUAAACGGUGGAUGCUGGAUGUGGGGCCCGUUCCACGGGUUCCGUGCCGGAGCUAACGCGUUAAGCAUCCCGCCUGGGGAGUACGGCCGCAAGGCUAAAACUCAAAGAAAUUGACGGGGGCCCGCACAAGCGGCGGAGCAUGCGGAUUAAUUCGAUGCAACGCGAAGAACCUUACCUGGGCUUGACAUGUUCCCGACCGAUCCCAGAGAUGGGGUUUCCCUUCGGGGCGGGUUCACAGGUGGUGCAUGGUCGUCGUCAGCUCGUGUCGUGAGAUGUUGGGUUAAGUCCCGCAACGAGCGCAACCCUCGCCCCGUGUUGCCAGCGGAUUGUGCCGGGAACUCACGGGGGACCGCCGGGGUUAACUCGGAGGAAGGUGGGGAUGACGUCAGAUCAUCAUGCCCCUUACGUCCAGGGCUUCACGCAUGCUACAAUGGCCGGUACAACGGGAUGCGACAGCGCGAGCUGGAGCGGAUCCCUGAAAACCGGUCUCAGUUCGGAUCGCAGUCUGCAACUCGACUGCGUGAAGGCGGAGUCGCUAGUAAUCGCGAAUCAGCAACGUCGCGGUGAAUGCGUUCCCGGGCCUUGUACACACCGCCCGUCAAGUCAUGAAAGUGGGCAGCACCCGAAGCCGGUGGCCUAACCCCUUGCGGGAGGGAGCCGUCUAAGGUGAGGCUCGUGAUUGGGACU